GCCUUAUUCCCUUUUUUACCGUUCGAGUUGCAGGCGCAUGAAAGGUGAUCCCCCCGCAGGCCACCGUUUACUGUAAGCUUGCACACGAUUCUUAUCGCACACAACACUUUCUCCAUCCCAACACUACCCUCUCUGCAACAUCAAUUUCUGGAACAUUCCGCCGUAGCAACCACCGAGCCACUUUCAACUCACUCGCCGAAUCGCUAUCGCUAUUCAAUUCCUUUCCCCGCCUCCCUCUUCCACUUCUAUAAUAGGGUUUCAUCCCCCGAGCCUCGUGCUUCGUCCUCGAAGCUAGGGUUUGUUUUCCGAACCGAAAAUGGACCACGCGCGAUCGACGAACGGCGAGGAGAAUGUGGGGAUUCCCGACGACUUGCGGUGCAAGAGAUCCGACGGGAAGCAAUGGCGAUGCACGGCGAUGUCGAUGCCGGACAAGACGGUGUGCGAGAAGCACUACAUCCAAGCCAAGAAGAGAGCUGCGAAUUCCGCUAUGAGGGCUAACCUCAAGAAAGCUAAGAGGAAGUCUCAGUCACUGUCGCUUGGCGAAUCGGAUAUUUAUUUGGAGAGCAAGAGCGACGAUUUCGACGUUCCUCUUUCCUCCAUCAACCACUCCGCUAAGAAGUUCUUAGAUAAGGUUUCUAAGAAUCAGUUCCGUUACACGCCUGAAGCUGAUUCCAGAAGAGCUUCCUCUGCGCUCCACGCUCGCAGCAACGUCGCUGAUGAUGACAUGGAUGCUGAUGCUGACGCUGACGCUGAUGCUGAUGCUGAUGUCGACGCGCCUCUCUACGAAGACAAUUGGAUCUCCUAUGAUUCUCCACCGGAGAAAAGAUCGCAUAGGAGCUUGGAUGCUAAUGCAACAACUGAAUAUUCCGAUGGAACCUCCGGUUCUUCUGGAGACACCGGCGGGCAAACUUGUCAUCAGUGCCGGAGGAAUGACAGAGAACGAGUUACUUGGUGCCUCCGGUGUGAUAGGAGGGGAUACUGUGAUGGCUGUUUAUCAGCGUGGUACUCGGACUUUUCAGUGGAUGAGAUUCAGAGGAUGUGUCCUGCUUGCCGUGGAAUAUGUAAUUGUAAAACUUGCUUGCGAAGUGAUAAUUCAAUUAAGGUUCGAAUACGUGAGAUACCUGUUAUGGAUAAGUUACAGUAUCUCCAUGUGCUGCUGUCGUCGGUGCUUCCUGUGGUGAAGCAGAUCCAUCGUGAACAGUGUUUUGAAGUAGAACUUGAAAAGAAGUUGCGGGGUGCUGAAAUAGAUCUUCCGAGGACAAAGUUGAAUGCAGAUGAGCAGAUGUGCUGCAAUUUCUGUAGGAUACCUAUUACUGAUUAUCAUCGACGGUGUCCAAGUUGCUCAUAUGACUUGUGCCUUAAUUGCUGUCGAGAUCUUCGAGAAGCAACUGCAGAUCUCAAUAAAGAACCCCAAACAGAGCAAGCAAAAACUUCUGAUAGAAACAUAUUAAGUAAGUUUCCUCUUUGGAGAUCCAAUGACAACAGAAGUAUUCCAUGCCCCCCUAAGGAGUAUGGUGGCUGUGGUUAUUCAUCAUUAAAUUUAAGCCGAAUUUUCAAGAUGAACUGGGUUGCAAAGUUGGUGAAAAAUGUAGAGGAAAUGGUUAGUGGCUGCAGAAUUAGUAAUGCUGAUGAUACACCAGAAGCCGAGUUGAAUGCUCUUAGACUAUGCCAAUAUUCUCAUAGAGAAGAUAGUGAUGAUAAUUAUCUUUAUUGUCCAACAUCUGAUGAUCUCAAAACUGAUGGGAUUGGCAAUUUUAGAAAGCACUGGAAAACUGGUGAACCCAUUAUUGUUAAGCAAGUUUUUGACGGGUCAUCCAUAUCAAGCUGGGAUCCAAUGGUCAUAUGGAGAGGGGUUCUAGAGACAUCAGAUGAAAAAGUGAGAGAUGAAAACAGAAUGGUUAAGGCCAUAGAUUGCUUAGAUGGGUCUGAGAUUGAUAUAGAGCUUACUCAAUUCAUGGAAGGAUACACCAAAGGGCAUAUUCAUGAAAAUGGUUGGCCACAAUUAUUGAAGUUGAAGGAUUGGCCUUCACCUAGUGCAUGUGAAGAAUUUCUAUUGUACCAAAGACCUGACUUUAUCAGCAAACUACCUUUACUUCAGUAUAUUCACUCCAAGUGGGGCCUUCUCAAUGUUGCAGCUAAAUUGCCUCAUUACUCCUUGCAGAAUGAUGUAGGACCCAAGAUAUAUAUAUCUCAUGGGAUUAGUGAUGAACUUGGCAGAGGUGAUUCAGUGACAAAUCUCCACUUCAAUAUGCGUGACAUGGUGUACCUUUUGGUUCAUACAAAUGAAGUGAAGAUGAAGGACUGGCAGAAAACUAAAAUUGAAACGAUGACAAAAGCUUUUAAGGAAUCUGAGGCAAAAGAAUCUAGUGGGGAUCCUCAAAUAUCUUCGAGGGAGAGUUCACCUGAUUCAUCACUUGGUACGAAAAGUAAUGGACUGGAUAUGGAUUCAAACCAGAGUAAAUCAAUUAUGGACCAAGAGUUUGAAAUUUAUUCUAGUGCUGAAGGUAAUAUAGUCAACUGUAAACUUCCAUUCACACAAAAUGGAGAUGUCUCUGAGAGAACACAUCCAGGAGUUCUUUGGGAUGUUUUUCGUCGGCAGGAUGUUCCAAAGGUGACUGAAUAUUUGAAAACACAUUGGAAGGAAAUUGAGAAGUCAUAUGAUAUAGUAAAUGAAUUUGUUGCAUCGCCUCUUUAUGAGGGAGCUAUUUUUCUUGACAAACACCACAAAAUCAAGUUGAAGGAAGAAUUUGUACCUGCCUGAAUAGGAGUGGAGCCUUGGUCAUUUGAACAGAAUUUGGGGGAAGCUAUAUUUGUUCCUGCUGGUUGCCCUUUCCAAGCAAGGAAUGUUCAGUCCAAUGUUCAGUUGGGCCUUGAUUUCUUAUCUCCGGAAAGCCUGGGGGAGGCUGUAAGAUUGGCAGAGGAAAUCCGCUGUCUCCCUAAUGAACAUGAAGCAAAGCUCCAAGUAUUGGAGAUUGGCAAAAUAUCUCUCUAUGCGGCAAGUUCAGCAAUCAAAGAAGUUCAGAAACUUGUACUUGACCCAAAACUUGGUGCAGAGAUCGGAUAUGGAGACCCCCAUUUAACUGCUAUGGUUUCUGAGAAUUAUGAGAAGAUGGUUAAGCGGAGGCAGAUUACUUGUGCUUGAAUUUUCACAUUCAGUUUGGUCAUUGAAUCAAGGAAAGGGGUUAUGUUUAUAAUAGUUGUAUUUGAGCAAUAUUUUAUGGGUUGAUGUUUCAGUGUAGUUGAUCAAAUACCUAGGUAAUCAUUUAUGUGUAUAAUAGUUACAUGUUAGGGAGUCAUAUAAUGAAAAAAAAUAAAAAUUCAAAUCUGUAUUUUAUUUCAAAAAGUUGGAUAGAAACAUGUAAGUGAUAUUUACGAACUUGCUUCUGCUUGCCCGUCGUAGUAUCCUUGUAGUUAAAUUAAGAAAUGCUUGGGGUUUAGAACUGGCAACAGGUUGGACAAAAAAAAAAAAGAUCUGGCCAUAGAUCACACAAAAAACUAAAAUUGGUUCAUUUUAGGGGUCAGUCUCUGUUGCCAUGCAAUUAAAAAACAAGAGGGAAGUUUAUUUUCCCCAGUUUUGGCGUCUGGCCUUUAAACAUUGAGGAUUCGUUUUAAGACACUGUGGUGAGUGCAAAUGAAUCAGCAAUUUUGUAGAAAUCUGACUUCAAUUCUGACCAGGCUGAUUCAGGUGCCUGAGCAUUUAAAGUAAAAAGUCUACCACCGCGAGCGCAGCAUACGGAAACAUUGUGUCGUCGAAACGAGGGGCUCUCUACUCUGAACUCAAACUCGUAGUAUUUGACAUUUCUAACGGAAUCUUCCCUCAAACUUGAUUUUAUCAAUGUGCCUUUAACUUCAGGGCGUUGCCCUGAUCCUGUUAUGCGUCGAACAACGGCUUCGCCCACCUCAUCUGGGCCUCCAAAUGCUUCAAUCCUACCGAAAAGGAUUAGAAAUUCAAGUUGUCAAUCUUCCUUUUAUUAAUUAUUAGUAUAAUUAUGAAAAGGAGUUUAUCAAGUGAAACAGGUGAUCGAUAAACUAUUUUUUAUUAGUCAUUUAUUUUUUAUGUUAUUUUGGGACCCGACACUUUCCACUUAAAAGAGAAACUGGUUGACCAAAAAAACAAGGAGAAAGUGAAAAGUUAUCUUUUUCUUUAUUAUUAACAUAUCAUUCUUUUAGUCGGAUAACAACAUUGGUGGGAAACAAAGUAAGUGAGGGGGCAUGUGUGAUACUACUAGCAAUGUAGUUAUUAGUCGUACUUACGAGAAG